UGCCUUCCAAAGCAAACAUGCAGCUCUGUCCCUCUGCUCAUCACCACACUGGUGGCCCAGCACCAAGUGUGACAGCCGGGCCAAGGCUGAUUGUGUGCCCUGGGCAAAGCUGAAACGAAGGCACUGGCAGCGGUGUGGAUGUGCCAUGAGCACGGGUGCUCUGGCAGGAAAGAUGCCAGAAGGCAGGAGCUGGCAUGGCAGAGCUCAUGGCUGGGGGGUGAUGGAUGUCAGCAUGAGUGGUCCCCAGCGUGGUGUGACCUUUACCGGCCACAGGCAAUGCCAGCUCCUGGCUGUCCUUCCCCUGCCCAGGCUGGCUGUGCCCCUGCUCACCAGGACACCGCUGAAGGAGCUUGCAGCAGGGCAGGUGGGGAGGAGGAAGAGGAGGCUGCCUGCAGCCCCUGCCCGCGGGACCAGCAGGGAGCCCCACCACUCUUCUUCUACAUGAAACCAGAGCGAAACAGCAACACCUGCUUCCCACGCUGUAGUUAUCUGCACACGCGGGAGGGACCAGCCGAGACACCCCCGGUAAGCUCCCGGCUCGCCAGGCACCCCAUCUCCAUGAACUCCUCCAGCAGAGCCACCCCCAGAGCCUGCUCCCCCUGCCCCGCACUCCCCGGCGCUCCAGCCCGGCACGGCAGCACCAGCCCUUCGUUCCACAUCGCAACUGAAACUAUGACUAACCGAGUUAUCAGAUCCUCAGGAAGGCUGAGCUCCUCGGCUCGGGGCGGGGGCUCCGGACGCAGGCUCUGCCGCAGGCACGCAGCCACACACAACCUCGAGGUUAACCCCAUCCUUCGGACCCCAACACCCGACUUACGUGCUCCGGCGGGCAGGGAGCACACCUGGAGUGUGCAGCGGGUGGGCUGGGAAGGACACGGCUCUCAGGGCACUUCUUCAAAGCCCCCCCGGGCACGGCAGCCCGCGGCAAAGCGCUGCGAGUGCUCCGCUCACACCCUCCCCACGCAUUUCGCUUUCGCUCCCUCGCAGCAGCCGGAGACAGAGAAGAAAGCAAAGCCGGUUCCUUAAAUCCUGGGGGCGAGAGGAUUUCAGAGCCAUGGGCGGCCGGGAGCGGCGAGCAAACGGGCACCGAGGCUGGAAACCAGGUCACAGGCGGCAGACUCCUGACCCCGAUGGCAGAAGUUGGUGGGAACACAUGUUCCGGCCCCAGCGCUCUUCCCUUCGGAGCCAACAGCGUUCUCCGCUCUCCUCCGCUCGCUCGCCGGAGCGUUCCAGCCGGCUGCAGCCGCGGUUGUUAAGGUGGAUGGAAGCGCCGCCAGUAUUCUCUCCCCUACCUCAUCUCCUUGCUCAGCAGCUCGGGGCUAUAGGGAGACUGUGCUGUUUCAGGAGAUGCCCGACGUUGCCAAGAAAUAAUAAUAAUUUAAAAAAAAAAAAAAAAAGGCAGGAGAAAAAAGCGAAGGGGCGGGAGCGCGGCAGCUCCGCUCCUGCCAGCCCGGGGACGGGGAGCCGGUGCCGUCGGUAUGUGGCGGAGCAGCGAGCAAGCUCUAAUCUGUUCCUCUGGCUGACCCGGGGCUCGUUGCAUCUGAAUGUGACCUCUAGACAGAGCAUUAAUAACGAACGUGGCGCUGACCCAAGCUGACAAGGGGUGCGGCGCUUGGCACCCGCUCCCGCCCUCCCUCGCUCACUUUCUGUCUCCCUCGCUCUCGGCUGAAUGUCAGCGGCAGGGGGAGGGAUCCAGGAAAACAAAGCUUGGCUAAUAGUUUUCUCCGCUCUCAAGUGAAUCAAAGGCGCUUUUCUUUGGGGACGUGCGUGCCGGCGAGCCCAGUGCCGCACCGACGGGUGCCGUGGCGCCUUGGGACACCUCGGCCCCAGCUGCUGCCCUGGCACAGGAGGGAUGGAUGGGGAGAGCUUUGGCACCGGUGCCGCCAUGGCCAGACCGGAGCCUCUGCUCCCGUACAGCAAGUGGAGGCUGGAAGGAAGAGGAGCUCGGAGAGCGGGGUACCGUGCUCGCCAUCUCGGGGAACUGAGAAGAAGCCUGGAGGGGCAGUGCGGCAGGCGAGGAAUGUCGGCUCGCAGCCCCUCGGCUCUUUGCAGCUCGGGGUUUUUACUAGAGACAUUCCAAGGCACUCUGGCACGGCUGCCCAGCUCCACCCUGGGCUUGGUGAGGGCGGAGAGAGCCCGUAAAAGGGUCCCUUAAUGGGAGCUCGCAUGGAUUAACAGACCAAGGUUAUAGGGGAAAAACUAAGUGAUAUCAUUCCCUACGCCUGACGGUACCUGGUGUGAUCCUCCAGUACCUCUUGCGCCCACACACCCUCUUGGGAGCGAACAUGGAGGCAGUUCUGGCUACGGCACCGCCAAAAUGUGCCGCAAUCCUCUUCUGGAGAAAGACCAGCCCUACGGAGUCAGCGACACCACGCAAGGCAUCCCGAAAGCGUGGUCUGCAUCGCUUUCCCGCACUAACCUCGGGGUGCUUUGCAGAAGCUCAGAGAAGGUGAUGCUGGCACCAGCCUGCUGUGCUCCCAGUGGACCUCUCAUUUGGUGACUGGACACAAGCACACCUCUGAUGUGGGAGCCUGCAGCUGAACUUCCCAGCACCUUUCACACCUGUCAUGCCACUUCUCUGCAGGGAGGCAGUGUCACCUAACAAGGUGUGGGUACCUGACCAGCAAGGAGUUGGGGGUCUCGGACCAGCUCAGCUCUAGCACAACAUCCCCUCUCUGCUGGCCCUGGCUGGAGACCCUGAGCUCCCAGAUCUCCCCUUUGAAACGGAUAAUUCCUAUACCACUGCAUCCACUUGCUGCAAAACCUUGAGCCCUGUGCCCUGAUCACAGACCUGCCUGGUUUUACUACUCUUGCCAUAGCCUUUCUUUUUUGCUGUGUUCUAUCCUUCGACACAAGGGCACAGGAAGACCCCCUCAGGAUGCCCACUCCUGGAGAUGUGCCAUUCCCUCUGGUCCAGCAUGGCAGUGAGUACACAUGGAGCAGCCACUGCUGGCAGGCCCAGCUCUCUUCUUUCACCUGGUUCAGAUACUAUUCCCGCUCCCUUAUUGUUGAAAAAAUAAUACUCAAAAUUAAAAUGUAGGCAGCAAAUUAUAGUAAUUACCCAGCAGUUCCUCCUGACAGGCCUUUUGUAUUCCAUUCACUGACACUCACUAAGCAAAUCCUCGCAGUUUGCUCCUACACACUCGGGAAACAUUCAACCAAUGGUGGCAGAAAGUGCAGCUCUGGGGGCACAGUGGGCACCAGCACCACAGGCACGGUCCUGGGGGUGACACCCUGGCUGAAAGGCAGCCAAGCACCAGCCUGGGAUGGCAGGGAUGGGACUGCAGUCAACCACAGCCUCACUCAGGGCAAGUGUGGCUAAUUUACGCCGUGGACACAGUUGUGCCCUCAUGGCACUCUAUCUGCCCCAUCCAAAUAAUUUUUAACAUGUUGCUUUGUACAGAGUUCAUGACAAACACCAGGCACCCACUGCACUCUGGCUGCACUGGCAUGGACAGGCUGGGCUCUCCUUGCUCUGGGCUGCCCUUGCACCCUGCUUGGAUAGAGGACACCUGAGUGGGAGACCCCAAGGCACAUCUCACCCCAAGGCCACCAGAAGGACAACGUGCAGUAAUGGGCGUGGGCUGCAAACCAGUUUCUCCAGCCCACUUUUACUACUAUCAGAAGGUUUUUACAGUUGUAAAUACAUCUGAUGGGAGAAAGGAAGGCUCCAACAUGAGCACAGGGGAGACAAAAGGAGGAAGGUAUGGAGCUGCCAGCUCCCCAGCUUCACCCAGCCAGCUCCUGCAUUUCAAAGGUAAUGCAAGGUGGCUGACUUUAUUUUAGUUUUGUAAACAGAACGGGACUGGGGAAAACAUGGUUCAGGUGAGUCCAAAACUCAGAUGAAUUAUUGGCAGCACUGAAAAUAAGCAUUCAAAAGAGUGCCUUUGGUAUCCAAGGGAAUAUUUUAUAUCUACCCAGAAGGAAUUAUAUAGGAGUUUUCAUGGGUUAUUUAACUCUCUGUCAUUGGUAUUUUACAAUCGUGCCCAACGCUCCUCUGCCUCAUCACCUGACUCCAUCCCGUGGCCUCAGUGUGGAAAAAAGCAUAAAGAGCCCCAAGCUGGCUGUGCCCUCAGGACAAGGAGCACAGAGCCUGGGCAAAGCACGGGAGGACCUCAGCAAGAACCUGCCACUUGCACCCGCCUCUUUGAAAGAACAAAACCACUUGCUAGACGCCACGGGAAAACCCCGAGCUGGGCGAGAACAGGUACCAGACUUUAAAGACUUAGUUAACUAAGGUCAUGUGGAAACCUCCUGGUUCAUCGAGUUCAGCUCCAGGGCGGCUGCGGCUGCCCUGAAGCUCUGGCACGAGUGGUGACACUUGGUGGAGGGGCUGGGGGGGGACAAUAAACCACCCACUGCUGAGGCUGGUGCUCAGCCACUGCUCAGACCCCCUUCCAGCCUACCUUGAACUCCUGCCUGCAUGGGCUCAUCCAGCAGGUCCCCCAAAGGCAGGAACUGCCUCAACAUUGCCUUUUAAGGAGCAGCCCCAUCCUGCUGCUGAAUGCCUCUGCACCCUGCCUGGCAGCAAAGCCGUGGGUGCUGCUGCUUCCCAGCCUGGGCAGGGAAGGGGGAAAUCCUUGAGCAGCUCUGGGUAAAUCAAAACCUCCUGCUUUAAGGAUCACAGAUAUGGCGCAAGGAGAUAAUAUCAGAAAAACACAUUCCCCCAUCGUUAUCCCAAUCUCUGCACAUUUUGACAGACUACUGAAUCGAAGUUUAUUGCAUAAUGGAAGUGUCAUUAAGCAAAAA